rnacentral:rRNA from 1 species
AACGAACGCUGGCGGCAUGCCUAACACAUGCAAGUCGAACGAGACCUUCGGGUCUAGUGGCGCACGGGUGCGUAACGCGUGGGAACCUGCCCUUAGGUUCGGAAUAACUCCCCGAAAGGGGUGCUAAUACCGGAUAAUGUCUUCGGACCAAAGAUUUAUCGCCUUUGGAUGGGCCCGCGUUGGAUUAGCUAGUUGGUAGGGUAAAAGCCUACCAAGGCGACGAUCCAUAGCUGGUCUGAGAGGAUGAUCAGCCACACUGGGACUGAGACACGGCCCAGACUACUACGGGAGGCAGCAGUGGGGAAUAUUGGACAAUGGGCGAAAGCAUGAUCCAGCAAUGCCGCGUGAGUGAUGAAGGCAUUAGGGUUGUAAAGCUCUUUUACCAGGGAUGAUAAUGACAGUACCGGGAGAAUAAGCUCCGGCUAACUCAGUG